rnacentral:rRNA from 1 species
UAAUGUCUGGGAAACUGCCUGAUGGAGGGGGGUAACUACUGGAAACGGUAGCUAAUACCGCAUAACGUCGCAAGACCAAAUGGGGGACCUUCGGGCCUCAUGCCAUCAGAUGUGCCCAGAUGGGAUUAGCUAGUAGGUGGGGUAAUGGCUCACCUAGGCGACGAUCCCUAGCUGGUCUGAGAGGAUGACCAGCCACACUGGAACUGAGACACGGUCCAG